ACAAUUUUUUAACUGUAUUCAGAAGUUGCCAUUAUUGUUGAGCUGUUGUUGCUGCUGUAAGAACCAGAAGUCUUCAUCACUUUCUCCAAUGUCCCAUAAACUGUCCGAAGAAGAAGCAGCUCCAUUAAUAUUUUCAAACCAGUUAAGGUUACUCUGCUCUUGCAUAGCCGGUACAUCUUCGUCUAGUAACCUAGAAUAAUCGAAAUAAUCAUCCGGUAACAUUUGUGGACCCACCAAGUUCUGAUCCGGGUAGUAGCUAUUCCCCACUUGACCCGAGUGGUAUUCCGGGUUCGGGUUUGGAGCGUUGUAGUAAUCAGUCAAGUCUGACACAGGAGACAAUGCCACGCUGGAAUUUUCCGGCGUGAUAUAAUCGUUGUUGUUCAUUACACCAAAUUGUUGUCCCAUGCUAUUGUUGUUGUAAUCAUACGUCAUGAAUUGAUUGUUAGAGGUUAUGAUGCAAGAUGACGUGGCAGCUGAGCCUGUUGUGGUAGCGUUGGUUAGGGCUGCGGCGGAGGCAGAGGCGGAUUGGAUCCUCUCAACGAGCCUAGGCAUCCACAAAUACUUCAUUGUGUCUUUGAACUGUUGACUGUUUACAUCGCAUUUAAGCUGCUUUGCAUGUUUUUGCACUCGUGUUCUCCAGUAGUUUUUAAUCUCAUUGUCUGUUCUUCCUGGUAGAUAUUGUGCGAUUUUUGACCAUCUGUAUUUUAAAAGCACACAAAUUAAAUCCACUGUUUUAAACAUGAUAUAUUGCUAAUCAAACUAUUUUUGUUCAUCUAUUACAUUGCUAUUCAUUAGGAUAUCUCAAUAUCAUAUGUUUUAUCCAUUAACAAAUAUCUAUAUACAACGCCACAUAAGUUAAUAUAUUCUCCGUUUUUAAUAUCACAGCAUAUAUAUUUUGAUACACGAAAAUAUGUAAUAUACAGAUAGUAUCCUUUCAAAUAAAAUAUUUUGUGUACUUUUAGUUGGAAGCCGGUUUUAAUUAUCUUAAAAAGAGAGAUCGUUAAAUUGUUUAAAAUUUUAACUUUAUUUGUAUGAAAAGACAUAAAACAAUAAUUUCUGAUAGAAAAGAAGUAUAUCUCAUGAAACGAUAAAAUAUUACGUAUUAUAUUAUUUUGAAUUUGAAACGUACCGAUUGCCCCAACGGGAAUGAAGUUCGAGGAUCAAGAGUUGUUCUUCGAGGGUAAUGUUUCCACGGCGGACGUCAGGACGGAGAUAGUUUAACCACCGUAGCCUACAGCUUUUACCAGUGCGUUGGAGUCCUGUGAAAUUGGUAAAAGUAUGUAUAUGAUCAUUAAUUAACCAGUUGGUCAUGUAUAAGUAUAGUAUCAUGAUUCCAUACGGAAGAAACUCAUUUAAAUAAAAGUUUCAUAUUGAGUAAAGUUAUAUCAAGUUCUCAAACAAAAUAGAAAUGCACCGUAGUAUGAUGCAAAAUGCUAAUGGUCCUAAAGGGUAUUUUUUAUUUGCAAGCUUUCUUCCAUUGAGUUAGUGCUCUUCCCAUAGAGAUGAUGAUCAUUAAUUCGCAUUAGUUCUUUCUUUUUCACCCCCUUUUUAAUAACCAAACUUGGAUAUGUUAUUCAAUACUGAGAUGGUUGAUAAUUGAAUCCAUUACUAAAAGAUCUCACUCAAAUAAUCAAAUACUUUAUUUAGUUGAGUGAAAUAAUUUUUAGAAAUAAUAGAAAGAGUGAAACAAAGAAAUAUCAGUAUGCACUUUUUCAUUCAUACCUAUGAAGGGUCUUUUCAUCUAUGCAUAUAAAAGGAAGAAACCAUUUCUGAUGUUUUUUUUUUUUUGAAAAAAUCUCUUUUAAAAAUAGAAAAGGUCGGCAAUCUAAAAGAACAUAGAAAAAACACAAUCACACAUGGUGACUGAAACAUGAAAAGGAUUGAACAUAAAGUGAACAAAUCAAUUAUGUUAUGUGACUUGUCCUUUCUCUUUUAGCCAAAAAGAUGCACAUCGAAGUAGAACAUACAUGUAUUUUUUUCACAUAUAACGAGCUUUCGCCAUGUGGUGUUGAGAAUAAAACGUUCAGUUUUUUAAUGUCUUCUUUUGAACCCAAAGAAAGGCUUUCACACACACUUUAUUUUCCAUAUACAUGCCCUAUAGACAUAGUUCCUAAAAAGCAAUACUACUUGGAUUAUCCAUUUUAUAGUACUAAAGUAAUUAUUAUAUAUCUUUUUUAAAUACUUUCUGAUGUGUUUGUUUUGUUUGUUUCUGUCAUAUCUUUGGUUAAAUAUUAAUCAUGGUGGAACCAAUUAUGAGCUUCGUCGUCGUUAUAUUAGUAAUUAAAUGAAUAAUGAUUUGGUUUAUGCUUCCAUUGAGGAAAUCACUCAAUAUAGUGUGAAAACAACUUCAGUUAUUUGUUUAAAGUAUACCCUCACACUGACGAACAAGUACUUGUUUUUGUAAAAUAAGUUAUACAAUUAUUGCAUCUAUAUUUAUGAAUAAACUACAAAAUAUCAUUACAGUCCCAAAACAGACAAAACCAAUCAAAUUCAGCGAUUUUUUAAAACGCCAUGACAUAUGAUCAAGCUUGUAAUAAAAAAGCUGAUCAUAUAUCCUAAGAUAAUAUCAUAAGCCCAUUACUUUUCUUUAAUUAUUACAUUGAACAAAUGCCUUUCACACGUAUACUUCGUGUUAAUUAAAUUAAGUACUUGAACAAUUUUUUAACUGUAUUCAGAAAUUGCCAUUAUUGUUGAACUGUUGUUGCUGCUGUAAGAACCAGAAGUCUUCAUCACUUUCUCCAAUGUCCCAUAAACUGUCCGAAGAAGAAGCAGCUCCAUUAAUAUUUUCAAACCAGUUAAGGUUACUCUGCUCUUGCAUAGCCGGUACAUCUUCGUCUAGUAACCUAGAAUAAUCGAAAUAAUCAUCCGGUAACAUUUGUGGACCCACCAAGUUCUGAUCCGGGUAGUAGCUAUUCCCCACUUGACCCGAGUGGUAUUCCGGGUUCGGGU
rnacentral:lncRNA from 1 species